UACGUAGGGUCCGAGCGUUGUCCGGAGUUACUGGGCGUAAAGCGCGCGCAGGCGGCGGUGCUGGCCCGGCGUGAAAGCCCCCGGCUCAACCGGGGAGGGUCGUCGGGGACCGCACCGCUUGAGGGCGGUAGGGGCUGGUGGAAUGCCUGGUGUAGUGGUGAAAUGCGUAGAGAUCAGGCGGUACACCCGUGGCGAAGGCGGCCAGCUGGGCCGUCCCUGACGCUGAGGCGCGAAGGCGUGGGGAGCGAACGGG
rnacentral:rRNA from 1 species